GAUGAAGAACGUAGCGAAAUGCGAUAGUAAUGUGAAUUGCAGAAUUCAGUGAAUCAUCGAAUCUUUGAACGCACAUUGCGCCCCCUGGUAUUCCGGGGGGCAUGCCUGUUCGAGCGUCAUUUCACCACUCAAGCCUCGCUUGGUAUUGGGCAACGCGGUCCGCCGCGUGCCUCAAAUCGACCGGCUGGGUCUUCUGUCCCCUAAGCGUUGUGGAAACUAUUCGCUAAAGGGUGUUCGGGAGGCUACGCCGUAAAACAACCCCAUUUCUAAGGUUGACCUCGGAUCAGGUAGGGAUACCCGCUGAACUUAAGCAUAUCAAUAAGCGGAGGA
rnacentral:misc_RNA from 1 species